rnacentral:tRNA from 1 species
AGGCGGUUAGCUCAGCGGGAGAGCAUCGGCCUUACAAGCCGGGGGUCACAGGUUCAAAUCCUGUACCGCCUACCA